rnacentral:lncRNA from 1 species
GUCUAGUGUUUCUUGAGGAGUUACAGGAUCUCCAUUAAUUCUAUCAUUUUGCGACAACACAAUAUUGGAAUCCCUAAGUAUAAUUCAGGGGUUAGUGUUUUUAUUAGCCAGGGACUUUAAGUUGCUCCAUAAGCUCUUCCUUUCUGUAACAGUGUUAAACCCAUACACAAAAGUAACCAUACUCUUGAAAGAGGAUUCCACAUCUUCAAUAAGACAGUGUACUAAUUGUCAUUAGUAUUCAGCAUAGUCACUUUAACUUUAUUGUUUCUCCAUAUUAGCCAAACUCUAUCAUUACCAAUAGUAGGAUAGUCAGUGUAGACAGUCCAGUCUUUGCCUAUAUGUUGCUUUACUCUGUCAGCAUUUUGAGCCUGUAUUCUAGUUUUUAAACAUCCCAUAAUAUCUAUUUUAUUUGUGUGCAAGAAGGAUUUA